rnacentral:rRNA from 1 species
CCCUACGGGGCGCGAAUUAUGUGCUGUUAAAAAAAAUUACCCAACUGCGUGAAAUUGCUGCGUUUCGUUUUGUUCUUUACGCGAUAGCUGCGAAAAAUUUAUCAACGUCAUUUAAUAUUAAGGCCACCGAUACGCGCGUAGAGGAUUUUUACGAGCUGCGUGAAAUAACAUUUGGCGUGACUCAUCAAGAAACGACACGAGCAGCGUAUAUGCAUACUUAUGAAUCAUGGGCAGAGGCAAUUUUUUCCUAUUUGACGGAAUUUGUCGAACAAGCGGAGUCCGCGUGACUCGAUGACUCGACGGAUGCGGAGUUUUUAGUUGACGUUAAUGAAUUGGCGGGGGAGC